rnacentral:rRNA from 1 species
AGAGUUUGAUUAUGGCUCAGGAUGAACGCUGGCGGCGUGCCUAACACAUGCAAGUCGAGCGAUUCUCUUCGGAGAAGAGCGGCGGACGGGUGAGUAACGCGUGGGUAACCUGCCUCAUACACAUGGAUAACAUACCGAAAGGUAUGCUAAUACAGGAUGAUAUAAGAGAUUCACAUGGAUUUCUUAUCAAAGCUCCGGCGGUAUGAGAUGGACCCGCGUCUGAUUAGCUAGUUGGUAAGGUAACGGCUUACCAAGGCGACGAUCAGUAGCCGACCUGAGAGGGUGAUCGGCCACAUUGGAACUGAGACACGGUCCAAACUCCUACGGGAGGCAGCAGUGGGGAAUAUUGCACAAUGGGCGAAAGCCUGAUGCCAGCAACGCCGCGUGAGUGAUGAAGGCCUUCGGGUCGUAAAACUUUGUCCUCAAGGAAGAUAAUGACGGUACUUGAGGAGGAAGCCCCGGCUAACUACGUGCCAGCAGCAGC